rnacentral:lncRNA from 1 species
GCAUAUUUAAUUUCUUGUAUGGGUGAAAAAGCUCAUGUACAUGGAUAUUUGAUUUCGUGAAUUAUACGAUCAAUUAAAUUUGUGGUUUUCAUAUACCCAUGAAAUUUAUGAAAUAUAGUAUCAAAUGAACAUUAAUACAGCUACAGUAUAAUGUAGUCUAGACUAGUACCAUAUUUGUUAAUUUUAAUAUCUAAGCUACCGCGCAUUGGGUCAAUACAUAUAAGAAGAUGUCAUUACAAACCAGUAACUUAAUUUUCAUGGCCUUUUGAAUUCACUAGAUAAGAAAUACAUGAGUUUAAGAAAAAACAGGCCUUCUUUUUACCUGAGACCACACCUGUACUGAGGUAAUUACAUAGCUUCGUGUAUGCUAUGUCUUUAAUUUUGACAUAUAAUAUUUAAAUUUAUUCGAAAUAAAUAUUUUUUUAUAGAUUAAUGCAACUUUGGAACUCUUCCUUUUUUAAAAGGUUAGCAAGAUUUGUUAUAUGGAAGUUACAUUAUAAUGAUUAUAUAAAUUCAUGGUUUAACAAAAAAAUAUCAUUUUAUAAAUAUAAAAAGUUGCUUUAUAUUCUAUUUUACUUGUAUAUAUAUUUUAUUACAAAAUAAAUUCACUGAAUUUAUAUUUACUUUACUUAACUAACACCCUAAAUCUAUACUUGGCUCAAGUUUAAAUUAUGAAAAAUUUUCAGUAACCAUAAAAUAUAUCUGAAAGAUUUAAAAAAUUCUGAAUAAGAUUGAAAUUAUUAGUCAUAAUCCAGUUUUGAGAUAAUUUGAUCAGCUUGUCUUAUUUUUAUUUUAAAGGUUUUAUAUAUUUGUAAGUGUUGACAAAUAUGGUGUUAUUAUAUGUUUAUUUUGAAGUUUUUGUUUAAAUGCUAAAAUGAAUACCUUAAAAAUUUUAUAUUGUUGUUAAUUUUCUUAGGGGAAAGAGCUGUUGUUAUAAACAGUUCCUAAAUUGAUAAAAUACAUAAGAUAACAACAAAUAGAUUAGGUUGGUAAAGACUUGGUCGAGUAUGGUUCAGACUAGGUUGAAUAUGGUUCAGACUAGGUCGAGUAUGGUUCAGACUAGGUCGAGUAUGGUUCAGGCUAGGUCGAGCAUGAUUCAGACGAAUUUAAAAUGCUUAAGUACAAGUUCAGACUAUUAAGUACGGUUCAGACUAAAGUCGAGUAUUAUCAAGUAAAUUUCAGACCAAUUCAGACUUGUCGAGUAAAAAUCAGUACCGUCGAGUACAGAUAUAGGUCAUUUCAGAGUUUUACUGGUUUGUAGUGUGUGGUAUGAGUGUCAAUGAUACAACUCUCCAUCCAAGUAACAAUUUACAAAAGUAAACCAUUUUAAGUCAAGGCACGGUCUUCAACACCGAGCAUUGGCUCACACCGAACAGCAAGCUAUAAAGGGCCCAAAAACAAUGUCCAGUGUAAAACCAUUCAAACGGCAAAACCAACGGUCUAAUCUAUAUAUAAAUAAGAAGCGAGAAACACUUAUAAACCACAUCAACAAAAAAAAACUACCGAACAUCAGAUUCCUUAAUAAGGACAAGUGCAAACAAUUGCAGCGGGUUUAAACGUUUUAAUGAUACCAAACAUUCACCCUUAUCUGAAACAAUAGUUCAACUCAACACAUCACAACAUAGAAAAACACACUAUAAAAUAUCAAUUGAAAUAGCAUUACUCAAUCAAAAGACUUAUUAAGACAAAUGGACAAUAGAUUCGAUCUCUGAUACAAUGUAAAAACAAAAGAAAUAAAAUAAGGGAUGAUAGUUAAAGUAACGGCUGUGAAAUGUGAAACAAAUUCAGAAAAAAAAGCUUGCACAAAAAUCUGUCAUUUGCAAGUUGUUACGCAUACAUGCAUAGACCAAACGGAGAGGGGAAAUAUUUUUACAAAAUAAAUAGUUUUGAUGUUCAUAGUACGAAGAAGAGAACAUUUCGUGUUAUACCAAACACUUAUAAAAGCUUGUAUAUAGACCAGAUUGAGUAAACAUUAAAUAACAAAAAAGCAUUACAAAAAGUAUCAAUAGGUCAAAUAAACAGAAUAGUCGCAUAUAUAAAUGUGUAAAUUCCAAUUUGUAAUAUUCUUGUUUUCGUGAUCAGCAUUCAAACAAUGUUUUUUCAAUCAAAUAUAUUAAUAUUUUCACAAUCUGCUAAACAUCAUCGUCAUCAGCAGCAUAAUUGAUACUAGCAUAACUUGUCAUGGCUGCAAGAACUAUAUUUUACGCUAUUGUAGGAAGUACAGUUUUACUGAAGCGUUCAAAGCAAGAUAAAAUGAAGUUCGCAUUAUUGAUGUUGGUAUUUCUUGUCAUAGCCACAGGUAUUACGUAAUGAGUAGCUCACUGUCAGGUGCAUUGCUUUCAACAGUAUCGUGAUCAAUAAAGAAUCAUAAUUACUAGAUUAUUACAAGCGUUUAAAUGAAACUCUACUCGUUUCACUUGCACAAUAAUUAUCAAUAUAUUACAACAAAUAUACGCUUUAAUUCUUCUGUUAACUUUUAAUGUAUGUAUGUUUCUAUGGUCAUAGGUAAAAAAUUCAACAAGCGUUUCUGACAUAUUAUUUAUAAAGUACGUUAAUAAUGAGAGGUAUAAAAAAUUCCAUUUAUAAAUCAUUUGGAAUAAAAGUCAAACAACAUGGCUUAAUUCAAAGUAACGAAACAAUUCAAUAUAUGUUAAACCAUCAUUAGGUAAGAUGCUACAUUAGUCCAAAUUUGCAUUAUCAAACAACUGGCCACUUUGAAUCCUUAUGAUAACUACCGGCAAUUACCCAAGGGGUAUAAAAACCAAUGAUAUGAUUUUUACAACACUUGCUUUGAAACAUUUUUCAAUAUGUGUAUUAGUCAACUCAAUUUUGAAAGACAAGAAAUAUAAAACAUUAGAGGCCAAUAGGCUAUAGACCACAUUUAAGUGAACAAAACAUAUGAAAACGGGCAAUCAAUGAACUUCCAAAAAUGUCUAUGAAAUUUGGCAAGAGAACGAUCAGCGUUGGGUACAGAAAAUAUUACAUUUAACUGCAUUUAACAUUUAACGUCACACACAGCUAGUACACUUUUAGCAUAGAAAUCUAAAACAAAACGUACUUUUUGACGAAUGACACACGUAAUGAAAAGAAAAGGAGCAUGCCAAACAGAGUAGCUUAUACUUUAAUAAUCAUCAUGCACAACAUAUGUUUCAUUACUGGUUUGGUAAACUUCAACACUUUAAUUCUUGUUUGGAACGUAAACCUCCAGAUGUCCUAAAAUAUGUAUUGUUUUUAUGAUUAGUAAAUAGUGUGAUUUAUAGAUCUGUUUAACUUUUACAAGAUGGAGCAAGUUAAUGAAUGAUUGGUUUCCUAACUGAGGGUAUAUGUAAUAACUAUGAACUCUCAACAUAACAUUUCUUCAAGAGCAUUUAAACUAUGAUACUUCCGGAAAAAUGAAAUUAGAUUUAUUCAAAGCUGAGCACUUAACAGCUUUCUUUUUUAUACACAUAUUUAUAUUUAUUUUUAUUUCAUAUACAUUUCAAUACUAACUAUAUUUAAAGAUCUAAUAUUAACUUAUUCCUAGAUGAAGAAUAAGUAGAACAAGUAAUCAGACGUUAACAUGAUAUUCUAUAUAUAUAUAUAUAUAUAUAUAUAUAUAUAUAUAUAUAUAUAUAUAUAUAUAUAUAAUAUAUAUAUAUAUAUAUAUAUAUAUAUAUUAUAUAUGUGAUGUGUGUGUGUGUGUGUGUGUGUGUGUGGUAACAUGACAAAAUCAGCUUUAAAAAAAAUGUCGCAAUAUAAACUUUAUUUGCUACAGUUCAACAUUACUUUUUCGUAAAUCGAGCUCCAAAAUAUUUUGCAGUUAUAUCUUAAAAAUACGAAAGCUUACAGAUCGACCAAUAUAUUUCAAUUUCAAUGCAAUUCGAUUUUUCACGGACAUACAUUGUAUAUGAUUCACAUAAUCUUUGUAGUGUCGAUUGACACGGACCUUCGUUAAUAACAAAUAAGUGUUAUGUUACUUAUGUUCUCAAAACUUAACUGUUCGAAAUCAAAUGAAAAAACACAACAAUUCACUGAAAAGAAAACUAUUUGUCUGUUGUUUUAGAAGAAUUCUAAUGGUUAUAUUUUUCUUAUUUAGAUAACGUGUCUUCCCAAACUUGUCGUGACUGCAGACAUUGUGAUUUCACAACAAGACAAUAUGUUUGUUCAAGCUGUGGUGUGACUUACUAUAAUGAAUGUUUGAUGCAUUGCUAGUAAGUAUGACCUUCUAAAAAAGGAUCUAAAUGCAAGCAGAUCAUUAUUUUAUUGAUAUAUUUUUUCCCUUAAACCGCUAUUGACGGUUUAAACAAAACAUUUAAUCAUACACUUAUGAAUAUUAAACAAUGAAUUCGACAUGAGAACUAUUCAAUGACACUUCUUUUUAAAUUUCUCAGUAAUAAUGUUUAACAAUUGUCAUUCACCAAAAGCACAUUGAUAUUCUUCUUCAAUGAUGCUAGAUACCAAAAUAGUAAUUAAAGGAUAAACGUUUAGUCAAACACAGAGGAAGAAUAAGAGCUCUCUAUUAGAAAUAUAUUACAUAAUUCAAUUACUGCAAUCGAAUUGAAGCGCAAUUGAACAAAUCAUUAUUUUUUAUUUAACACAUAAAGCCAAAAUGUUCGGAAUCAAAACCUAAUACAUACUUGAAGGGCUGAUAUGACUGUAUUUGAAUCAAAGUAGAGCAGGUAAACUCAUCAUAGAAAUUAUCGUUUCGUAUUCAAAAGAUUUAGCAGCAACGCUCGAAUAAUAAAGUUUCAGAAGGUCUACAUACAAACUGACGUGCAGUUAAAUUAAUGCAUGUUCUAUUCCAACUGCAAUAUUACGAGUAAUUAAGGGCUGAUUUAAUUUGUAUCAUAAAAUUAUUAAAACAAGAAAUCUAGAAUCUACGAAAAUACUUUAUUUGCUCAAUCACAAUAAGUAUACUAAAACAGUAUGCUCUUCUCACAAUAGUUCAUAACAGGAGUCGAAGUAAUAUUUUUUUACAUUUUAUUUCAGUGGUCAAAAUUAUGGUUGCAGGGGUGUAUGUCCAUGUGGCGGUACACCUUAACAUGUAUGAUACACAGGUUAGAACAAAUGUUACAGAGUUAAAUUUUCAGAAUUGUUGUAAAGGAUAAAUAUAUGGAAUAAAUGACCUAUUUCAGAUGUCGAACCGUCCAAACCGGAAAUCAAAAUUAUAUUUACAGAUGUAUACUUUAAACAAACUAUUUUGUUUUGUCAAUAUUAAAUAACAUCAGAACUGGGUAGACAAAUUAAAAUAAAAAUGUGAAGAUGUGGUAUGAUUUCCAAUGAGAAAACUAUUCACUUUAGUUAAAAUAAACCAGAUGUAAGCAAAUAAAGGCAACCCUCAACAAUUAAUAACACCCAUACACAAAAUCUGAGACUACUCAUAAUUACUGAUAGCUUUUUUUUCAAAGCCACUUAACGCUUAUAAAGAAAUCAUGUGUCUAAGAAUAAUACAUCAAUAAUGACACGAACCGGAAAUAUUAUGGAUUUAGAGACGUCGUUUACGAUCAGAGAAAAUAUGACCAUGUACAAUGCCAAAAUUUUGGUAUCACUGGAUUGUAAUACCGUGCAUGUGCAUUUGGAGAAUUUUAUUUGAUAUAUAUUGUUAAUGAUUUAACGUAAACGACUGUCAAAAUAAAAUAGAUUAUUCACGAGAAGGUACAAUGUUUUCUUGAUAUUUAUAUUUAUAUUUCACAAUUCUUUUUCAGCACCAAGUGAGACUGAAAAUAUAAUAAAAUGAAUUAAAAUGUAAAAAA